rnacentral:rRNA from 1 species
AACGAACGCUGGCGGCAGGCCUAACACAUGCAAGUCGAGCGCCCCGCAAGGGGAGCGGCGGACGGGUGAGUAACACGUGGGAACGUACCCUUUGCUACGGAAUAGUCUCGGGAAACUGGGGGGUAAUACCGUAUGUGCCCUUCGGGGAAAGGAUUUAUCGGCAAAGGAUCGGCCGCGUUGGAUUAGGUAGUUGGUGGGGUAAUGGCCUACCAAGCCGACGAUCCAUAGCUGGUUUGAGAGGAUGAUCAGCCACACUGGGACUGAGACACGGCCCAGACUCCUACGGGAGGCAGCAGUGGGGAAUCUUAGACAAUGGGCGCAAGCCUGAUCUAGCCAUGCCGCGUGAGCGAUGAAGGCCUUAGGGUUGUAAAGCUCUUUCAGUGGGGAAGGAUAAUGACUGUACCCACAGAAGAAGCCCCGGCUAACUCCGUGCCAGCAGCCGCGGUAAAGUACAGUGU